GGGAGGUAGUGACAAUAAAUAACAAUACGGGGCUCAUUUGGGUCUCGUAAUUGGAAUGAGUACAAUUUAAAUCUCUUAACGAGGAACAAUUGGAGGGCAAGUCUGGUGCCAGCAGCCGCGGUAAUUCCAGCUCCAAUAGCGUAUAUUAAAGUUGUUGCAGUUAAAAAGCUCGUAGUUGAACUUCGGGGUCUACCCAUUGGUCAGGCUUAAUUGUCUGCACUGGUGAGAUGGAUCUCUACCUUCUGAGGAACUUUCAUGCCAUUUAUUUGGUGUGAUGGGAAAUCAGGACUGUUACUUUGAAAAAAUUAGAGUGUUUAAAGCAGACUAUCGUCUGAAUACAUUAGCAUGGAAUAAUGAAAUAGGACGGACUGAUUCUAUUUCGUUGGUUUCUAGGAUCACCGUAAUGAUUAAUAGGGAUAGUUGGG
rnacentral:rRNA from 1 species